ACAGAACAUUGUAUCACACUACUUCGGGCCCUGGCCACCAACCCAGCCUUGAGGCACAUCCUUGUCUCCCAGGGCCUUAUCCGGGAGCUCUUUGAUUAUAAUCUUCGCCGAGGGGCUGCGGCCAUGCGGGAGGAGGUCCGCCAGCUCAUGUGCCUCCUAACUCGAGACAACCCAGAAGCCACCCAACAGAUGAAUGACCUGAUUAUUGGCAAGGUCUCCACAGCCCUGAAGGGCCACUGGGCCAACCCCGAUCUGGUGAGCCGGCCUAGCAGGCCCAGCUGUCCUCUCUGACUUCCCCUCACAUGCCUUGUGUUUCUCAGCUUCCCCUCCCAGGUCCUGCGGUGACUGAGGAGGGAAGGAGCAGAACAUUACCCCAGAAUGGUUUUCCCAGGGAAGAGCCUGGAGCACAAGGGUCUCCGUCUGUCCUUUGUCUCUGUUGGAGCCACCUAGGACCAGAAAUUGUAUUAAUAGUUAAGAGUCGCUGGACCGGAGCUGACCCUCUUGACUCAU
rnacentral:lncRNA from 1 species